rnacentral:rRNA from 1 species
CGCAAGCCUGACGGAGCAAUACCGCGUGAGGGAGGAAGGCUUUUGGGUUGUAAACCUCUUUUCUCAAGGAAGAAGAAAGUGACGGUACUUGAGGAAUCAGCAUCGGCUAACUCCGUGCCAGCAGCCGCGGUAAUACGGAGGAGGCAAGCGUUAUCCGGAAUUAUUGGGCGUAAAGCGUCCGCAGGUGGCGAUUCAAGUCUGCUGUCAAAGACUAGAGCUUAACUCUGGAAAGGCAGUGGAAACUGGUAGGCUAGAGUACGGUAGGGGUAGAGGGAAUUCCCAGUGUAGCGGUGAAAUGCGUAGAGAUCGGGAAGAACAUCGGUGGCGAAAGCGCUCUACUGGACGGCAACUGACACUCAGGGACGAAAGCUAGGGGAGCG